rnacentral:rRNA from 1 species
GACGAACGCUGGCGGCGUGCUUAACACAUGCAAGUCGAACGGAAAGGCCCUGCUUUUGUGGGGUGCUCGAGUGGCGAACGGGUGAGUAACACGUGAGUAACCUGCCCUUGACUUUGGGAUAACUUCAGGAAACUGGGGCUAAUACCGGAUAGGAGCUCCUGCUGCAUGGUGGGGGUUGGAAAGUUUCGGCGGUUGGGGAUGGACUCGCGGCUUAUCAGCUUGUUGGUGGGGUAGUGGCUUACCAAGGCUUUGACGGGUAGCCGGCCUGAGAGGGUGACCGGCCACAUUGGGACUGAGAUACGGCCCAGACUCCUACGGGAGGCAGCAGUGGGGAAUAUUGCACAAUGGGCGGAAGCCUGAUGCAGCAACGCCGCGUGCGGGAUGACGGCCUUCGGGUUGUAAACCGCUUUCGCCUGUGACGAAGCGUGAGUGACGGUAAUGGGUAAAGAAGCACCGGCUAACUACGUGCCAGCAGCCGCGGUGAUACGUAGGGUGCGAGCGUUGUCCGGAUUUAUUGGGCGUAAAGGGCUCGUAGGUGGUUGAUCGCGUCGGAAGUGUAAUCUUGGGGCUUAACCCUGAGCGUGCUUUCGAUACGGGUUGACUUGAGGAAGGUAGGGGAGAAUGGAAUUCCUGGUGGGGCGGUGGAAUGCGCAGAUAUCAGGAGGAACACCAGUGGCGAAGGCGGUUCUCUGGGCCUUUCCUGACGCUGAGGAGCGAAAGCGUGGGGAGCGAACAGGCUUAGAUACCCUGGUAGUCCACGCUGUAAACGGUGGGUACUAGGUGUGGGGUCCAUUCCACGGGUUCCGUGCCGUAGCUAACGCUUUAAGUACCCCGCCUGGGGAGUACGGCCGCAAGGCUAAAACUCAAAGGAAUUGACGGGGCCCCGCACAAGCGGCGGAGCAUGCGGAUUAAUUCGAUGCAACGCGUAGAACCUUACCUGGGUUUGACAUGGAUCGGGAGUGCUCAGAGAUGGGUGUGCCUCUUUUGGGGUCGGUUCACAGGUGGUGCAUGGCUGUCGUCAGCUCGUGUCGUGAGAUGUUGGGUUAAGUCCCGCAACGAGCGCAACCCUUGUUCACUGUUGCCAGCACGUUAUGGUGGGGACUCAGUGGAGACCGCCGGGGUCAACUCGGAGGAAGGUGGGGAUGACGUCAAGUCAUCAUGCCCCUUAUGUCCAGGGCUUCACGCAUGCUACAAUGGCUGGUACAGAGAGUGGCGAGCCUGUGAGGGUGAGCGAAUCUCGGAAAGCCGGUCUCAGUUCGGAUUGGGGUCUGCAACUCGACCCCAUGAAGUCGGAGUCGCUAGUAAUCGCAGAUCAGCAACGCUGCGGUGAAUACGUUCCCGGG